GACAGAGGAUGCAAGCGUUAUCCGGAAUGAUUGGGCGUAAAGCGUCUGUAGGUGGCUUUUCAAGUCCGCCGUCAAAUCCCAGGGCUCAACCCUGGACAGGCGGUGGAAACUACCAAGCUGGAGUACGGUAGGGGCAGAGGGAAUUUCCGGUGGAGCGGUGAAAUGCGCAGAUAUCAGGAGGAACACCAGCGGCGAAGGCGGCGCUCUGGGCCGGAACUGACGCUGAGGAGCGAAAGCGUGGGUAGCAAACAGG
rnacentral:rRNA from 1 species